UAAGGAAUCUUCCACAAUGGGGGCAACCCUGAUGGAGCGACGCCGCGUGGACGAAGAAGCUUCUCGGAGUGUAAAGUCCUUUUCCCUGCGAUGAGACGGACAGUAGCAGGGGAAUAAGCCACGGCUAACUACGUGCCAGCAGCCGCGGUAAUACGUAGGUGGCGAGCGUUGUCCGGAAUUACUGGGUGUAAAGCGCGUGUAGGCGGGAGGCCAAGUCUGCGGUGAAAUCGCUCGGCUCAACUGGGCGGGGUCCGUGGAAACUGGUCACCUGGAGGACGGUAGAGGCGAGUGGAAUUCCCGGUGUAGUGGUGAAAUGCGUAGAGAUCGGGAGGAACACCAGUGGCGAAGGCGGCUCGCUGGGCCGGACCUGACGCUGAGACGCGAAGGCGUGGGGAGCGAACGG
rnacentral:rRNA from 1 species